GCCCAAAUCGCACGUGCCUGUGGUCGUGGUCGAUUGGUGGGGAUCCGGACAAGAGGCCGGUUAACCACCUUAAAAGGAUCGACAGCCGGAGGCGAACCGGCGAACCCCGCCAAACGGGGAACGCGACUUAAAGCAACGACGGACCGGGCUUUU
rnacentral:sRNA from 22 species